GGUGAGAUAGCUCAGAUGGUAGAGCAGUGGACUGAAAAUCCACGUGUCGGCAGUUCGAUUCUGCCUCUCACCACCA
rnacentral:tRNA from 1 species